rnacentral:rRNA from 1 species
UACGGAGGGUGCAAGCGUUAAUCGGAAUUACUGGGCGUAAAGCGUGCGUAGGUGGUUCGUUAAGUCCGUUGUGAAAGCCCCGAGCUCAACUUGGGAAUUGCAGUGGAUACUGGCGAGCUGGAGUGCGGUAGAGGAAGGUGGAAUUCCCGGUGUAGCGGUGAAAUGCGUAGAGAUCGGGAGGAACAUCAGUGGCGAAGGCGGCCAUCUGGGACAACACUGACGCUGAAGCACGAAAGCGUGGGGAGCAAACAGG